AUACUCGAUUUUCGCGAAGCAAGAAAAACACUGUGAUACCAUCUCGAACUCAAUAGUUAAGGCUUGCUGUGGUUAAAAUAGCAGAAGGGGGACUUUCUGUGAAGAUAACUAAGAUCGAGUUAU
rnacentral:rRNA from 1 species